CCCCCUCAAUGUCCUUGCCAUCUUUUGUGCUACAGUCUCUGGACCCCAGCCUCUGCUUCCUCUCGCCAUGGAUCCCAACUGCUCCUGUGCCACAGGUGGAUCCUGCACGUGUGCCAGCUCCUCCAAAUGCAAAGAGUGCAAAUGCACCUCCUGCAAAAAGAGCUGCUGCUCCUGCUGCCCUGUGAGCUAUGCCAAGUGUGCCCAGGGCUGUGUCUGCAAAGGGGCCUCAGACGAGGGCAGCUGCUGCGCCUGAAGGAGGGAAGAGCCUGCUCCCAGGUGUAAAUAGAGCAACGUGCACAAACCUGCAUUUUUUUUUUAUACAACCUGACACGUUUGCUACAUUCCUCUUUUUUUUUUUUUUGUCCUAUAAAAUACAAGAAUGAUAAUAAAAGUGGUUGGC